rnacentral:rRNA from 1 species
GACGUAGGAGGCGAGCGUUGUCCGGAUUCAUUGGGCGUAAAGAGCUCGUAGGCGGCUUGUCACGUCGGAUGUGAAAGCCCGAGGCUUAACCUCGGGUCUGCAUUCGAUACGGGCUAGCUAGAGUGUGGUAGGGGAGAUCGGAAUUCCUGGUGUAGCGGUGAAAUGCGCAGAUAUCAGGAGGAACACCGGUGGCGAAGGCGGAUCUCUGGGCCAUUACUGACGCUGAGGAGCGAAAGCGUGGGGAGCGAACAGG